AGCAGCCGCGGUAAUUCCAGCUCCAAUAGCGUAUAUUAAAGUUGUUGCAGUUAAAAAGCUCGUAGUUGAAUUUCAGGCCUGGCUGGACGGUCCGCCCUUCGGGUGAGUACUGUCUGUGGUCGGGUCCUACCUUCUGGCGAAGCGUCAUGGCCCUAACCGGCCGUGGCGGGGAACCAGGACUUUUACUGUGAAAAAAUUAGAGUGUUCAAAGCAGGCAAUCGCUUGGAUACAUUAGCAUGGAAUAAUGGAAUAGGACAAUGGUUCUAUUUGUUGGUUUCUAGGACCGUUGUAAUGAUUAAUAGGGAUAGUUGGGGGCAUUAGUAUUCAAUUGUCAGAGGUGAAAUUCUUGGAUUUAUUGAAGACUAACUACUGCGAAAGCAUUUGCCAAGGAUGUUUUCAUUAAUCAAGAACGAAUGUUAGGGAUCGAAGACGAUCAGAUACCGUCGUAGUCUUAACCAUAAACUAUGCCGACUAGGAAUCGGGCGAUGUUGACAAAUGACGCGCUCGGCA
rnacentral:rRNA from 1 species